rnacentral:rRNA from 1 species
GACGAACGCUGGCGGCGUGCCUAAUACAUGCAAGUGGGACGCAAGGGAACACACUGUGCUUGCACACCGUGUUUUCUUGAGUCGCGAACGGGUGAGUAACGCGUAGGUAACCUGCCUAUUAGCGGGGGAUAACUAUUGGAAACGAUAGCUAAUACCGCAUAAUAUUAAUUAUUGCAUGAUAAUUGAUUGAAAGAUGCAAGCGCAUCACUAGUAGAUGGACCUGCGUUGUAUUAGCUAGUUGGUAAGGUAAGAGCUUACCAAGGCGACGAUACAUAGCCGACCUGAGAGGGUGAUCGGCCACACUGGGACUGAGACACGGCCCAGACUCCUACGGGAGGCAGCAGUAGGGAAUCUUCGGCAUUGGACGAAAGUCUGACCGAGCAACGCCGCGUGAGUGAAGAAGGUUUUCGGAUCGUAAAGCUCUGUUGUAAGUCAAGAACGUGUGUGAGAGUGGAAAGUUCACACAG